CCGUCCCGUUCUGUCCUGUCCCGUCUGCGUACCAAACGCUACCUUAUAUUUAGCCACUUUACUGUGCAGCCAAAGGAGAAGCCGGCUUCAAUGCAAGACAGCUGGCAUUCAUUUUAAACCACUCCUUUCCACUUAGAUUUUUACUUGGUUUUGUACAUUGACCAGUCGUCAUUGACAAUCCAUGACCUCUAUACGUGGAGUAUCUCUGAUGCAGCAUGUUUCAUACUUCUCUUUUUUGAAUUACGUGAUUAGAAUCCGUAUUAUCGUCUGAUUUUUUUUUUUUAGAAUUUCGAAGAUUCGUGAAUUAUAUAUGUUCAUCUUACAACGUGUGGUCAAAAA
rnacentral:lncRNA from 1 species